rnacentral:rRNA from 1 species
GAUGAACGCUGGCGGCGUGCCUAAUACAUGCAAGUCGAGCGAACGGACGAGAAGCUUGCUUCUCUGAUGUUAGCGGCGGACGGGUGAGUAACACGUGGAUAACCUACCUAUAAGACUGGGAUAACUUCGGGAAACCGGAGCUAAUACCGGAUAAUAUUUUGAACCGCAUGGUUCAAAAGUGAAAGACGGUCUUGCUGUCACUUAUAGAUGGAUCCGCGCUGCAUUAGCUAGUUGGUAAGGUAACGGCUUACCAAGGCAACGAUGCAUAGCCGACCUGAGAGGGUGAUCGGCCACACUGGAGCUGAGACACGGUCCAGACUCCUACGGGAGGCAGCAGUAGGGAAUCUUCCGCAAUGGGCGAAAUCCUGACGGAGCAACGCCGCGUGAGUGAUGAAGGUCUUCGGAUCGUAAAACUCUGUUAUUAGGGAAGAACAUAUGUGUAAGUAACUGUGCACAUCUUGACGGUACCUAAUCAGAAAGCCACGGCUAACUACGUG